rnacentral:rRNA from 1 species
ACAGGAUUCCCCUAGUAACGGCGAGUGAAGCGGGAUGAGCUCAAGCUUAAAAUCUCUGUCACAAAUUUAUUUUGUGCGGCGAAUUGUAGUCUAUAGAAGCGUGGUCAGUGUAGGCGCUUGGGUUAAGUUCCUUGAAAAAGGACAGCAUCGAGGGUGAUACUCCCGUUUGUACCUAAGUGUCUUAUGCGUACGACCCGUUUUCUUUGAGUCGCGUUGUUUGAGAAUGCAGCGCAAAGUAGGUGGUAAAUUCCAUCUAAAGCUAAAUAUUGGUGCGAGACCGAUAGCGAACAAGUACCGUGAGGGAAAGAUGAAAAGAACUUUGAAAAGAGAGUUAAAGAGUACCUGAAACUGCUGAAAGGGAACCGGAUCGUUUCUAGUGUCUAUAAUCCGUGACAUAUUUCAUUGGCGGGCGUGUGCGUAUGUGUACUAUGGCAGCGGCUAAUUGGCUGCGCUUGGUGUGCGUGCUGUGUGUGCUUACUGGUGCCCUGUGUUAUGGUGGGACGUCAAGGUCAGUUCGUAUGCUGCGGGAAAUGGCUGCUGAGGAGGUAGGGCUUACGCUUGCGUUUGUCUGUUAUAUCUUGGUGGUUUUGUCGUGGUUGGGACUGAGGUGUUCUACAACGUGCUCUUGAGUAGGUCUGCGUCUCCGUGUGCACCGUGUGCAGAUAGCUUGCUAUGUGUGUGUGGUUGUGUGUGGAUUGAUGCGGGCUUGAACUUGUUGCCGUUCGGGACUUUGACGAAAUAGAGCGAUUUGACCCGUCUUGAAACACGGACCAAGGAGUCUAACAUAUGUGCAAGUGUUAGGGUGUGGAAACCCCAGCGCGAAAUUAACGUAAAGGAUAGCGUAAGCUGUCUUAGGUAGGAAACGUUGCGGAUUUCGGUCUGUGGCGUGGCACUAUCGACCGAUCAUGAACCUUCGUGGUGAAAGAUUUGAGUUUGAGCACAUAUGUUGGUACCCGAAAGAUGGUGAACCUAUGCCUGAGUAGGGUGAAGCCAGGG